rnacentral:snoRNA from 2 species
CUGACGUGGACAUCCUGUGAGGUUGCUCUCCCGUGGCUCUGUCCUUGUGGCGUAUGGGAGCGUAGCACUUCGAUGCUGUGACGUACAGUCCCUUUCCACGACGUCAGAGAGCAAGCUUUGUCCCCCGGCCCUCUGGGCUGAUGAGGACAGCGUUCUGUAUAUUCCUACAUCUUCCCAGAGCCCUUUGGGCCAUGACUGGGGGGCUAAACCAUGCAUUGCACAAUU